rnacentral:rRNA from 1 species
GACGAACGCUGGCGGCGUGCUUAACACAUGCAAGUCGUACGGUAAGGCCCUUUCGGGGGUACACGAGUGGCGAACGGGUGAGUAACACGUGAGUAACCUGCCCACAACUUUGGGAUAACGCUAGGAAACUGGUGCUAAUACUGGAUAUGUGCUCCUGCUGCAUGGUGGGGGUUGGAAAGCUCCGGCGGUUGUGGAUGGACUCGCGGCCUAUCAGCUUGUUGGUGGGGUAGUGGCCUACCAAGGCGGCGGCGGGUAGCCGGCCUGAGAGGGUGACCGGCCACAUUGGGACUGAGAUACGGCCCAGACUCCUACGGGAGGCAGCAGUGGGGAAUAUUGCACAAUGGGCGCAAGCCUGAUGCAGCAACGCCGCGUGCGGGAUGACGGGCUUCGGGUUGUAAACCGCUUUCAGCAGGGACGAAGCUUUUUGUGACGGUACCUGCAGAAGAAGCACCGGCUAACUACGUG